UACGUAGGGGGCAAGCGUUGUCCGGAAUCAUUGGGCGUAAAGGGCUCGUAGGCGGCCAACUAAGUCGGAUGUGAAAUCCCCAGGCUUAACCUGGGAACUGCAUCCGAUACUGGAUGGCUUGAAUCCGGGAGAGGGAUGCGGAAUUCCAGGUGUAGCGGUGAAAUGCGUAGAUAUCUGGAGGAACACCGGUGGCGAAGGCGGCAUCCUGGACCGGCAUUGACGCUGAGGAGCGAAAGCGUGGGGAGCGAA
rnacentral:rRNA from 1 species